UCCCGCACCUCCGAAAUAGAGAAGAGGGCGCUGCGGAGGCCUCGACGGCGGCGCGUGCGUAGGCUGCUUCUGUGCUUCCUCAAGAAGAGUUACAGUACUUGGGAGUUUGUGCGCCUGGACCUGACACACCAGAAACUCUUGUUCGUAUAUGCAAGCUGGUCCAUGCUGUUUAUGUACUGUUGAGAUAGUUUGGAAAGG